AUACCUUUCUCGGCCUUUUGGCUAAGAUCAAGUGUAGUAUCUGUUCUUAUCAGUUUAAUAUCUGAUACGUGGGCUAUCGGCCCACAUGAUAUUAAAUUAAUUUUUUUCGGGGGAAGGCCCAUUAAGGCAGCUUGCUGUCUGGGCUUUCAUACGUCGCCUGUGCGUUGCACUGCUGCAUAGGCCUGGCGUACCCCAC